GAGGAUGCUGGUUUUGCGUCAUGUGGGAUUCCUGCUCCUAUUCCUGAGGGAAUGUACGGGCCUGAAGUUACACAAAGGUUGAAUCAACAGGAGGGAAAAGUUAAUAUGAACUCUGCUCCUGUUUUCAUGAGUAACAAUCCUGAUAUGAAGCCAGGAAGCUCCCAGCUUAUGGUUGGAAUUGCUGCAAAUGCACCUGCUCAAUCAGUGAGACCAAUUCAACCUUCAGAAAAACCAAGUUUGCUGGGAGCUCCAUUUAGACGAGAUAACAGCUUUUCUGAAGCUGAUGGUGAUGGGAAGAGAAGGCACCCCAUAUUGAAUCCUAGCCAGGACAUGAGGUAUCGUGGUUCAGCAGAACCUCCUUUAUUACCUAGAGUGCCUCAGAAACCACCCAUACUGCCCAUACCACCACAUGGUGGAUGGUUGGUGGAAGAUGACCUAAAUAAAGGACACAUGGGUGGUCGAUCACCUGGAAUUUUUCAAGAAUCUGAUGCAUCAAGGUAUGCUAAACAGAGAGGUCAUCAGAAUUUUCUGAGUCAAGGUGCAACAAACAUGAUGUUACCAUCAUAUGCAUCUGCAGGGAAGAACGGGGAGGUAAAUUUCAGGCAUGAAAUGCAUAGACUUAUUCAUCAGACAGAGGGUAGAUUCUCUCAACAUCAGUCAUUAUUUAACAACAGAGAACCUCAACUAGAAGCUGGG
rnacentral:misc_RNA from 1 species